rnacentral:rRNA from 1 species
GUGGGGAAUAUUGGACAAUGGGCGAAAGCCUGAUCCAGCAAUGCCGCGUGAGUGAUGAAGGCCUUAGGGUUGUAAAGCUCUUUUACCAGGGAUGAUAAUGACAGUACCUGGAGAAUAAGCUCCGGCUAACUCCGUGCCAGCAGCCGCGGUAAUACGGAGUGAGCUAGCGUUGUUCGGAAUUACUGGGCGUAAAGCGCGCGUAGGCGGCUCAGCAAGUCAGGGGUGAAAUCCCGGGGCUCAACCCCGGAACUGCCUUUGAAACUGCUAGGCUAGAAUCCUGGAGAGGCGAGUGGAAUUCCGAGUGUAGAGGUGAAAUUCGUAGAUAUUCGGAAGAACACCAGUGGCGAAGGCGACUCGCUGGACAGGUAUUGACGCUGAGGUGCGAAAGCGUGGGGAGCAAACAGGAUUAGAAACCCUUGUAGUCC